GGCAAGGCAUUCUGCCUACCAUCAAGAGAACGUAUAAAAAGAGGCAAGCCACAGAUAAGAACAACAGUUGAGUGGUGAGCAGUAUCUGAACGCAACAAGCUAAUCUCUUGCAAGACAUAACCAGAGUUUUGCUACUUGGAUGUUGGAUAAAGACUGCUGUCCACUUGCUCUGGAAAUUGAGGAUGGCUUUUCUGGUGCAGUGGUUCUAAAUAGUUCAACAGUUCUUUAGCUUAAUUGUGAAAUGUUUAGGACCACUUGAUCAGGGUGGCAGUAACGUCAAUACAGAGGACACAGGCGGAGAAUUGAGAGUGACAAGAAGGGGAGAUGCAGCAGGUAUAAACCAGCUUUAGCUGCUUAACAUGCGGGAUUAGGAUUAGCAUCAUAUUCCUUCAACUGUACCGUAGUUCUCUCAACUAAUUUUUUUAUUAAAAAGUCCCAACAUGUAAGAUUGUGGAAUGAUGCUCACUGGUAUACAAUGUUUAGUUGCUAAGCAGAUUUGACUGAACCAAGAUAUGCCAGCAAACGUAUACAGAAAAGUACUGGAUCAAUAUAAACUCUGCAUGGAAAAACAUUACCUUCUUAAAUGGAUUCUUAAAUUAAAUAAUGUACUACAUAUUUUAAACAUUAUGCAGUCCCGUCAUAUAGGCUGACAUUAGCAUUUUAAUGUUGUCGUCCUAGUUUGUGUAAUUUAGUCAAAUAAAAUCUAAACUGUAGCAUAACUGUAAAUUGCACCCAGAGUACUGGAAGCAUUGAUCCAUAAAUUAUCCGUAUUUUAAUAAUUGUGUUGAUGGUGAAUUUGUAUGGGUUAAGCAUGUUCAUUUUUAAUUUCACAUUUACAGUAUCUUCUGUAAAUGUGAAAUCAGAUUCAUGCUGAUAAAAAUCAGUACAGUAGAAGUAAAUCUGAUUGUGUUUUUAUUUUUAUUUAUUUAAUUUACAAACAUGCGUUGUUAUUUAUUUAUUGAUUAUAUUUUAUGUAUAUAUACUUGUAAUCAAAAUAAAAUCUACCCAACCAG